GGCCAAGUUUUUAAGGGCGCACGGUGGAUGCCUUGGCACCAGGAACCGAUGAAGGACGUGGGAAACCCGGCAGUCGUCAUGGGCUGUCACCCGCUGCUGAACUCAUAGGCAGUGUGGAGGGAACGCGGGGAAGUGAAACAUCUCAGUACCCGCAGGAAGAGAAAACAACCGUGAUUCCGGGAGUAGUGGCGAGCGAAACUGGAUGAGGCCAAACCGUAUGUGUGUGAUACCCGGCAGGGGUUGCGCAUGCGGGGUUGUGGGAUCUCUCUUCCACGGUCUGCCGGCCGUGGGACGAGUCAGAAACCGUUGAUGUAGGCGAAGGACAUGCGAAAGGUCCGGCGUAGAGGGUAAGACCCCCGUAGUCGAAACAUCAGCGGCUCGUUUGAGAGACACCCAAGUAGCACGGGGCCCGAGAAAUCCCGUGUGAAUCUGGCGGGACCACCCGCUAAGCCUAAAUAUUCCCUGGUGACCGAUAGCGGAUAGUACCGUGAGGGAAUGGUGAAAAGUACCGCGGGAGCGGAGUGAAAUAGUACCUGAAACCGUGUGCCUACAAGCCGUGGGAGCGUCGCGCAUCGAGCUUGCUCGGUGCGUCGUGACUGCGUGCCUUUUGAAGAAUGAGCCUGCGAGUUAGCGGUGUGUAGCGAGGUUAACCCGUGUGGGGAAGCCGUAGCGAAAGCGAGUCCGAACAGGGCGAUUCGAGUUGCACGCUCUAGACCCGAAGCGGAGUGAUCUAGCCAUGGGCAGGUUGAAGCGGCUGUAAGAGGUCGUGGAGGACC
rnacentral:ncRNA from 1 species